rnacentral:rRNA from 1 species
CCUACGGGUGGCAGCAGUCGAGAAUCAUUCACAAUGGGGGAAACCCUGAUGGUGCGACGCCGCGUGGGGGAAUGAAGGUCUUCGGAUUGUAAACCCCUGUCAUGUGGGAGCAAAUUAAAAAGAUAGUACCACAAGAGGAAGAGACGGCUAACUCUGUGCCAGCAGCCGCGGUAAUACAGAGGUCUCAAGCGUUGUUCGGAAUCACUGGGCGUAAAGCGUGCGUAGGCUGUUUCGUAAGUCGUGUGUGAAAGGCGCGGGCUCAACCCGCGGACGGCACAUGAUACUGCGAGACUAGAGUAAUGGAGGGGGAACGGGAAGUUUGGGGUGAGCAGUGAAGUGGGUAGGUAUCGAGAGGAACAGUCGGGGCGAAGGCGGGUUCGUGGACAUUAACUGACGCUGAGGCACGAAGGCCAGGGGAGCGAAAGGGAUUAGAUACCCCUGUAGUC